CAGGUGGCACUGCCAGACGCUGAGCCACUAAUCCACUUUGCUCUGAACUGCGGGGCAAAAGGUUGCCCUCCCAUUAAGACCUACACCCCUCAGGACAUCGACAGCGAGCUCCGCACGGCAGCCGAAGCUUUCUUGGAGAAUGACGACGCCUGUAUGGUGGAUUCUGGGAAGAAAGAAGUCCACCUGAGUCAGAUCUUCAAGUGGUACAAGGCCGACUUUGGAGUCACCGACGAGAAGCUGCUGAAGUGGGUGUUGGCCCACAUGAGCGACUCCCCCAAGAAGAGCAGCUUGCAGGGGGUCAUCUCUGCCGGCAAGACCAAGGUCAGCUUCCUGCCGUACGACUGGAGCUCCAACAGCAGCCACUGAGCAUGGAGCUCUUCUCCCAGGUGGAUACUUGUAUGCAACACAAAGUCUGCACUUGACCUUCUAAUCCUACUGCUCUUGGAGAUCUUCUUCAGGUCUACUUUCUUCUGCAGCACAUCACACGUCUCUUUGUAACUCAGGAGUCUUCCUAAAUGCAACAUGUCCAUGAUGCACGUUUAGUCGUUAGUCCUAGAGGUGUGUAGACCUCCAAAGCUUUGUCCCACCAGCACAAUAAGGUACUUUUAUACACCGCAUGGAACUUGAAUUCUACUUUUGGACACUUUAGUACACAGAAAAGUACUUUACACCUUCCUUCAUUUGUAAACCAUUUUUAUCUAACCUUCAAAAUCAUCCUUUUAUAGUCUUGGCAGUUAUGCUUCCAGCCCAAGGUCUUCACUCGGUGUGUUGGCUCAUAGUGAUUGAUGUGGACCACAUGACUAUGUAGCGUCUGGUAACUUGACAGAUGAUCACACCUUUUACUAAGUGC